AGUCAAAAGAGUUUGAUCCUGGCUCAGGAUGAACGCUGGCGGCGCGCCUAACACAUGCAAGUCGAACGGUUUCCGGAGUUUACUCC
rnacentral:rRNA from 1 species